rnacentral:rRNA from 1 species
UACGUAGGGGGCAAGCGUUGUCCGGAAUCAUUGGGCGUAAAGAGCGUGUAGGCGGCUUGACAAGUCCGCUGUGAAAGUCCAGGGCUCAACCCUGGAAUGCCGGUGGAAACUGUCGAGCUAGAGUCCGGAAGAGGCGAGUGGAACUCCUGGUGUAGCGGUGAAAUGCGCAGAUAUCAGGAAGAACACCAAUGGCGAAGGCAGCUCGCUGGGACGUGACUGACGCUGAGACGCGAAAGCGUGGGGAGCAAACAGG